GAUGAACGCUGGCGGCGUGCCUAACACAUGCAAGUCGAGCGGCAGCGAGGGGUGCUUGCACCCUGUCGGCGAGCGGCGGACGGCUGAGUAACGCGUGGGAACGUGCCCCAAAGUGAGGAAUAACUGCCCGAAAGGGUAGCUAAUACCGCAUAUUAUCUUCGGAUCAAAGGAUUUAUCCGCUUUGGGAGCGGCUCGCGUCGGAUUGGGUAGUUGGUGAGGUAAUGGCUCACCAAGCCGACGAUCCGUAGCUGGUCUGAGAGGAUGACCAGCCAGACUGGAACUGAGACACGGUCCAGGCUCCUACGGGAGGCAGCAGUGAGGAAUCUUCCACAAUGGGCGAAAGCCUGAUGGAGCAACGCCGCGUGCAGGACGAAGGCCUUCGGGUUGUAAACUGCUUUUAUAAGUGAGGAAUAUGACGGUAACUUAUGAAUAAGGAUCGGCUAACUACGUG
rnacentral:rRNA from 1 species